UGAUGUUAGCGGCGGACGGGUGAGUAACACGUGGAUAACCUACCUAUAAGACUGGGAUAACUUCGGGAAACCGGAGCUAAUACCGGAUAAUAUUUUGAACCGCAUGGUUCAAAAGUGAAAGACGGUCUUGCUGUCACUUAUAGAUGGAUCCGCGCUGCAUUAGCUAGUUGGUAAGGUAACGGCUUACCAAGGCAACGAUGCAUAGCCGACCUGAGAGGGUGAUCGGCCACACUGGAACUGAGACACGGUCCAGACUCCUACGGGAGGCAGCAGUAGGGAAUCUUCCGCAAUGGGCGAAAGCCUGACGGAGCAACGCCGCGUGAGUGAUGAAGGUCUUCGGAUCGUAAAACUCUGUUAUUAGGGAAGAACAUAUGUGUAAGUAACUGUGCACAUCUUGACGGUACCUAAUCAGAAAGCCACGGCUAACUACGUGCCAGCAGCCGCGGUAAUACGUAGGUGGCAAGCGUUAUCCGGAAUUAUUGGGCGUAAAGCGCGCGUAGGCGGUUUUUUAAGUCUGAUGUGAAAGCCCACGGCUCAACCGUGGAGGGUCAUUGGAAACUGGAAAACUUGAGUGCAGAAGAGGAAAGUGGAAUUCCAUGUGUAGCGGUGAAAUGCGCAGAGAUAUGGAGGAACACCAGUGGCGAAGGCGACUUUCUGGUCUGUAACUGACGCUGAUGUGCGAAAGCGUGGGGAUCAAACAGGAUUAGAUACCCUGGUAGUCCACGCCGUAAACGAUGAGUGCUAAGUGUUAGGGGGUUUCCGCCCCUUAGUGCUGCAGCUAACGCAUUAAGCACUCCGCCUGGGGAGUACGACCGCAAGGUUGAAACUCAAAGGAAUUGACGGGGACCCGCACAAGCGGUGGAGCAUGUGGUUUAAUUCGAAGCAACGCGAAGAACCUUACCAAAUCUUGACAUCCUUUGACAACUCUAGAGAUAGAGCCUUCCCCUUCGGGGGACAAAGUGACAGGUGGUGCAUGGUUGUCGUCAGCUCGUGUCGUGAGAUGUUGGGUUAAGUCCCGCAACGAGCGCAACCCUUAAGCUUAGUUGCCAUCAUUAAGUUGGGCACUCUAAGUUGACUGCCGGUGACAAACCGGAGGAAGGUGGGGAUGACGUCAAAUCAUCAUGCCCCUUAUGAUUUGGGCUACACACGUGCUACAAUGGACAAUACAAAGGGCAGCGAAACCGCGAGGUCAAGCAAAUCCCAUAAAGUUGUUCUCAGUUCGGAUUGUAGUCUGCAACUCGACUACAUGAAGCUGGAAUCGCUAGUAAUCGUAGAUCAGCAUGCUACGGUGAAUACGUUCCCGGGUCUUGUACACACCGCCCGUCACACCACGAGAGUUUGUAACACCCGAAGCCGGUGGAGUGCUGGAUCACCUCCUUUCUAAGGAUAUAUUCGGAACAUCUUCUUCAGAA
rnacentral:rRNA from 1 species